rnacentral:rRNA from 1 species
AACGAACGCUGGCGGCAGGCCUAACACAUGCAAGUCGAGCGCCCAGCAAUGGGAGCGGCAGACGGGUGAGUAACGCGUGGGAACCUUCCCAAUGGUACGGAAUAGCUCAGGGAAACUUGAGGUAAUACCGCAUAAGCCCGAAAGGGGAAGAUUUAUCGCCAUUGGAUGGGCCCGCGUAGGAUUAGCUAGUUGGUGAGGUAAUGGCUCACCAAGGCGACGAUCCUUAGCUGGUUUGAGAGAAUGACCAGCCACACUGGGACUGAGACACGGCCCAGACUCCUACGGGAGGCAGCAGUGGGGAAUCUUGGACAAUGGGCGCAAGCCUGAUCCAGCCAUGCCGCGUGAGUGACGAAGGUCUUCGGAUUGUAAAGCUCUUUUGCCAGGGACGAUAAUGACGGUACCUGGAGAAUAAGCCCCGGCUAACUUCGUGCCAGCAGCCGCGGUAAC